AGGUCAUUUUGAGGGCAAUUUCUUAGUACUCCAUUAUAGCGUUCCCAUGCCUCAUAAAGGAACUCACUCGGUUGUUGCUCAAAGUUGGUUAUUUCCUUCUGGAGUUU